ACAUGAGGCUCCCCCUCUUGGGAAGAGAUACAAGCCGGGCCCAGGGACUGAGCUGUAUAACAAGGGUGGGACUCAAGAAAGUCGACGGGGAAAAUGUGAAGAAUUCAAAUGCACACAUUUCUUCCUCCUGGCAAGAAAGCUGAGGCUAGGAGAGCCGUGAAGUGACAUCACCCUGGUAGAAGAGACAAGGGAAGUAUUUGAACUCGGAUCCCCUCAGACCCUCCAAAGGCAGAGUCCCUUUUAUUGUUCUAUAAGACAAACACAUCACACCAGGGCACCCGCUGCCCAACACAGCCACGGAGAUGCAGGAGACUCAGGAGACUCCGGGACUCCAAAGUAGUUGUGA